GUUUCCCCGGGGGCUGAAGCGCUCUAGCCAGCGCCUCACCUGCGCGCCCAGGUGCGAGGGCGCAGGCGGCGCCGUGCGGGGCUGCGCGGGCCGGGGCUGAGGGUCCCGGUGCGGGUCAUCAUCCGCUUCACCCGCGCCCACCAGCCCGGCACUCGCGAUGAGCCGCGGCGCUGCCCAGGCUGCCCUCACGCUGUGCCCCGGCAUCGGCGGCUGGCUCUGCAAGGAACCUACCGGCGCCCACGGUGCCAGCAGCGCUGGCUGCAGAGAGAAGUCUCCCCUCCUGCCCUAUGCCCCUUCAAAACAUGAAGUCGCAUAUUGUUUAUUUCCUGUAUCUUCGUUUGCUUCGUUGCAAAUGUCUUAAGUGGAUUGGGGAGGCAACCUGGACAGUCUGGGCCUGUCUUUUUUCUUUUUCUUUUUUUUUUUUUUAGUUAUUUUUUAACUUGCGUGUAGUGGAAUUACAGUAGCCACGGAUGCGGCUCUUAACUGGUUUAAAUCAUGAUAAUGCAUUUGGUGAUCAAUGACCAAAGAGGUGCCCACUGUGCAAGGGUUUUAUUCUUUAGCUCUCCCUGCUCGAUGUACCUUGCUCCUCCUCCCCCCAAACCAAAAUUUAAAAAAAAAAAAAAAGAAAAAAAAAAGAAAAGGGAAACAAUUUCUCUCAGGUCUAAAUUCUUGGGUCCAUGUGCUAAAGAUAAAAUGAAUUUCAAUUGCUAGUGGAAAAAAUCAGCAAUUGUAUGACUUUUGCAAGAGCUAGUUUCUUAAACGGAAAUUGAGUCCUAUUUUGUGGGAAAUUAGUUUUGCAGACUUUCUUUAAAAAAAAAAUCCAAAACUUUUGUUCAGCAGCUGCUCCGCUUUUCACUGCAGUUUCAGAUUCAACUGGAACCUGCAGCAGUCUUUCGACGUCUGUUCCAGCAGCUUCCAGCUGCAGUCGUGGACUCCAAAGACUGGCUUCCUGAUCUUCAGCUACCUGGCUCCACAGAGCUGUCCAGGGACCAGGCAUUCAAAUGCAAUUAUAUUGCUCUCCAAAAGAAAGCUGGAGAGCAAGAGACAGUGUUGGCAUGCUACAGAAAAGCAGGAAGACAAAGAAUCAACUGACAGCCUAUAUAGCAUGAGGCUGGAGUCUUUGGCUAAAAUGUGGAAUUAUACUGCAUCUUGGAAAAAAAAUAUGGUCAAAAAGAGCAGACAUGGAAUGAAGGUAUCCUUGAGGCCUUGGCAUACAAACUUUUCACCAUUUCUCAACAUCUGGAGUUUGCACAUUGGUAAACUUUAACCAUAAAUUGUAUUUUAAUAUUAUUGUCAUAACCUUAAGACAUGAAUUUAUUUUUAUAAAACAUAGAAG
rnacentral:lncRNA from 1 species